UAAUGUUUGUGUAUGGAUAGUGUUCAGUACCAGGGACAGGUCAUGUCUGUGUGUGGAUAGUGUUAAGCACCAGGGACAGGUCAUGUUUGUGU
rfam:Branchiostoma floridae genomic scaffold BRAFLscaffold_113, whole genome shotgun sequence.